AAUAUCCGUUAUGGAAAAGUUCAUCAUUAGAAUUGUAAUAUUUAAACAAUAUUAUGAUAAUAGUGUGCAUUUUUUCCAUAUAAGGACAUUGUAAUCUAUUAGCAUACCAAAUUUAUCAUAAAAUAUAACUUAUAGUUUAUUCAAAUUAAUUUGCUUGCAUUUUAACACAGAAUAAAUGUUAUUAAUUUGAUAAAGUGCUGAUAGAUUUAUAUGAAUACAGUGCGUUAAUUUUUCGGAAUUAUAUAAUGACAUAAUUAUCAUUGAUUUUUGUGUUUAUUAUAUGCACUUGUAGGAUUAACAAUGCGAAAGAUUCAGGAUACCUUCGGGACCCGUCUUGAAACACGGACCAAGGAGUCUAACAUAUGUGCAAGUUAUUGGGAUAUAAACCUAAUAGCGUAAUUAACUUGACUAAUAAUGGGAUUAGUUUUUUAACUAUUUAUAGCUAAUUAACACAAUCCCGGGGCGUUCUAUAUAGUUAUGUAUAAUGAUCUAACUGGAACGUACCUUGAGCAUAUAUGCUGUGACCCGAAAGAUGGUGAACUAUACUUGAUCAGGUUGAAGUCAGGGGAAACCCUGAUGGAAGACCGAAACAGUUCUGACGUGCAAAUCGAUUGUCAGAAUUGAGUAUAGGGGCGAAAGACCAAUCGAACCAUCUAGUAGCUGGUUCCUUCCGAAGUUUCCCUCAGGAUAGCUGGUGCAUUUUAAUAUUAUAUAAAAUAAUCUUAUCUGGUAAAGCGAAUGAUUAGAGGCCUUAGGGUCGAAACGAUCUUAACCUAUUCUCAAACUUUAAAUGGGUAAGAACCUUAACUUUCUUGAUAUGAAGUGCAAGGUUAUGAUAUAAUGUGCACAGUGGGCCACUUAUGGUAAGCAGAACUGGCGCUGUGGGAUGAACCAAACGUAAUGUUACGGUGCCCAAAUUAACAACUCAUGCAGAUACCAUGAAAGGCGUUGGUUGCUUAAAACAGCAGGACGGUGAUCAUGGAAGUCGAAAUCCGCUAAGGAGUGUGUAACAACUCACCUGCUGAAGCAACUAGCCCUUAAAAUGGAAGGUACAAUGGUAUGCGUAGAAGUGUUUGGCGUAAGCCUGCAUGGAGCUGCCAUUGGUACAGAUCUUGGUGGUAGUAGCAAAUAAUCGAAUGAGACCUUGGAGGACUGAAGUGGAGAAGGGUUUCGUGUGAACAGUGGUUGAUCACGAGUUAGUCGGUCCUAAGUUCAAGGCGAAAGCCGAAAAUUUUCAAGUAAAAUGCAAAUGCCAAACAAAUAUAUAUAUUAUAUAAAAUCUAGCUAAAUUAAUAUACAUGAAUAAUUUUGAACGAAAGGGAAUACGGUUCCAGUUCCGUAACCUGUUGAGUAUCCGUUUGUUAUUAAAUAUGGGCCUCGUGCUCAUCCUGGCAACAGGAACGACCAUAAAGAAGCCGUCGAGAGAUAUCGGAAGAGUUUUCUUUUCUGUUUUAUAGCCGUACUACCAUGGAAGUCUUUCGCAGAGAGAUGGUAGAUGGGCUAGAAGAGCAUGACAUAUACUGUUGUGUCGAUAUUUUCUUCUCGGACCUUGAAAAUUUAUGCUGGGGACACGCAAACUUCUCAACAGGCCGUACCAAUAUCCGCAGCUGGUCUCCAAGGUGAAGAGUCUCUAGUCGAUAGAAUAAUGUAGGUAAGGGAAGUCGGCAAAUUAGAUCCGUAACUUCGGGAUAAGGAUUGGCUCUGAAGAUUGAGAUAGUCGGGCUUGAUUGGGAAACAAUAACAUGGUUUAUGUGCUCGUUCUGGGUAAAUAGAGUUUCUAGCAUUUAUGUUAGUUACUUGUUCCCCGGAUAGUUUAGUUACGUAGCCAAUUGUGGAACUUUCUUGCUAAAAUUUUUAAGAAUACUAAUUGGGUUAAACCAAUUAGUUCUUAUUAAUUAUAACGAUUAUCAAUUAACAAUCAAUUCAGAACUCGCACGGACUUGGGGAAUCCGACUGUCUAAUUAAAACAAAGCAUUGUGAUGGCCCUAGCGGGUGUUGACACAAUGUGAUUUCUGCCCAGUGCUCUGAAUGUCAAAGUGAAGAAAUUCAAGUAAGCGCGGGUCAACGGCGGGAGUAACUAUGACUCUCUUAAGGUAGCCAAAUGCCUCGUCAUCUAAUUAGUGACGCGCAUGAAUGGAUUAACGACGGACGUGUGUUUUCUCGUGGUUCCAAUCAAACGGUCAUUUCAAAGUUAUUUCUGGGUGUACAGAGCUCGAAAUUGGACUAAAAUUCGCAGUUUAGUGCAAGGAAGACGCUGUGUAAAAACAAUUUUGAAAAGUGAGCGUAAGAGUGGAAAUCGCCGUUUUCCUUUUUGGAAAAUUUCCACACGUGCGCGUGGGUGAGUGCAGCCGCGAGAACUUUCGUGAGAGCAAAAGCGGCGAGAGCGAGCUUUCUCUCUCGCAGUCAGCUGUUCUAGCGGGUGUGUGUACCGGCUAAACUUGCGUAUCGGGUAAGUGUACUUGCUCGAGUAAGUUUGGUGGUAGGAGGAAAAUGGCUCCAUCUCCGAUGGAGACGGCAGGUGGAUGCUCGGGCAGUGAGUCUGCGAGCAGUCGUAGCGGCAGUGUUAGCCGUGAUAGGCAGGGUCGGUCGAAGGGAAAGCGUGG
rnacentral:rRNA from 1 species